rnacentral:rRNA from 1 species
UACAGAGGGGGCAAGCGUUAUUCGGAAUUAUUGGGCGUAAAGGGCGCGUAGGCGGCUUGGCAAGUGGAUGGUGAAAUCCCUCGGCUUAACCGAGGAACUGCCGUCCAAACUGCUUAGCUUGAGACCGGGAGAGGUGAGUGGAAUUCCCAGUGUAGCGGUGAAAUGCGUAGAUAUUGGGAGGAACACCAGUGGCGAAGGCGGCUCACUGGACCGGUACUGACGCUGAGGCGCGAAAGCGUGGGGAGCAAACAGG